UCCAUCUAUCUAUCUAUCUAUAUAUGUUUGUUUGUUUUACAUCUUACUCUCUCUUCAAUCAUUGAGUUCGCACGCCAUCAUGAUCACCCAUAGAAACUCCACCUUGUUAAUUAUCCAUGAAAAAGCUUUGCUUUUGUGGUUUAGAACACACCUUCAUUCUGUGUUUUGAAAAAUGCUCUUACAGUAUGUAAACAUCUCGACAUCGACUUGCUUAGAAUAAUUAAUCAUUCUUCAUAGCAAGGACCAGACUCUUUCUUGCAACUGAUCAGUUCUGUCUUGGUGCAUAAAUGCUAGCUCGUAAAACGUCAACAUUUGCAUUCAAGAGUAUCGGUAGAAGGGGUGGAGCAUGCUACUAUUGGCCUAGGGCUCAAGAGGGUCCCGUGGAUCCAGCCGACUGCCCACUCGCAAUUGCGUUCAGUGGUUAAAAGUGAUUCUCCGUUGGCAAAGCAGGCUCUAGCUUCUUUCUAGUUCCUCCUCUCCUCUCCUCUCCUCUCCUCUCCCUUGCAUAUGCUAUAUAUAUGGGUCUUCCAGUUCUCAGAAGAUCCAAAACAUAGCAUUCGUUUUUUUAUCUUAGCUGCUGCAGGCUAAUUGAUUAUUUCAAAUUGAUACAUAGAUAAUCUAUGCAUCUUGUGAUAUAUGGCAUUAGACUACAAUAAGCUCCAUUACUAUCUUAACAUAAACAAUUAUCUCCAACACAGAAUGAUUAUUUUUUUGUUAAAUUAAAACCUCUAGCGAGGACAUGACGACAACUAAGGCACCCCUGCUACACUUUGUCUUGUUUACUUGUUUUGGCUGGCUUCCUCUAGGAAUUAUCAAAAUCCAUUAUCCUCUACAUCAAUCCAAACAUUAAAAUAACAUAGUACGUUGUGUGAUUUUCAAUUUCUUACAAAAAAUAAAAUAAAAUAAAAUUAGGUAGCUAGGACAGAUGAAAUGAGUUGAUAAUACUCUUGAAACAGUUGUAUGCAAUAAAAUGCAAUCCUACGAAUGCAAUAAGAGAGUAAGAGAGAGAGAGAGAGAGAGAGAGAGAGAGAGACCAUGCACACACAACUUGAAUUACAAUUGGGAAGGGAAGAAUGAAAAGGAAGUGCUGGGUGGGAAAAUCACCUUUUCCAAGGAAAGAAAAUCCAAUGUUACCUGUAAAACCCAGGUAGCUUUGGCUGUAUCUAUGGAGCUAUAUGUUAAGCCGUUGCUGCCGCCUUCUCUACCACCUUUCUUUCUCCCGAAGAAUAUUCUUCUUCUGUCUUCUGUCUUUCUUCUUCCUCCACAACCCCUUUAAAUCCCCCCUCCCCACGUGCUUUUCUUUGCUUGCAAUCGAAGCCUGAAACAAUAUUCAUACAGACACCACACAUACAGAGAGAGAAAGAGAGAGGUAGAUUAGUGGUUGAUCUCCCAGUUAUUUGCUCAUCUUCCAGUCUUGUGUCAUAUCUUCUCUCCAAGCACUGUAAGUGUCUAAAUAUUUCUGUGAUUGAAUGUUGGUUUAUAAGCUUCCAUAUUAUUACAAUUAUCUAAUACAAUCAAGAAUCAAUCAACUUUUCUUGAACAUCAUUAUCUAAGUCUAGUCUUUUAAAUUAUGGAGCUGCUUAAGAAAAAAAGUAUCAAUAGUUCGUGAAUCAGUUAAGUGUUUAUAGAUGAUAGUAAUUAACUGAGAUCACAAGGUAUGUAUGUAUAUAUGGCAUUUAUUAGAUUGUGUACUAAUUUUUUGCAGGUUAAGAUGCUCGAGACUGCUUCCUACUAGCUAGAGCUAGCUGCUUGGUCUGAAAGAAUGGUCUGCCUGGCUCCCUGAAUGCCAUCUAGGAAGCUUGUCAAAGAGUGUUGGCAACCUCUCUAACUGGCAUGAGGGGAGUCACGCAGGCCCAACAACUGCUUAUAUACUGCUACUCAAUAUUGAAUUCAUAAGCAAAAAAUAGUGCUCAAGGUACAGAUGAAUUGCGAGAGAUGGAGGACAGGCACUCAAGGUUUUGGCAGAUGCGGAUGGUGUGAGUUUUAUGGGAUUAGAGGGUGAGAAGAAAGAAGAUGUGGUGGUGAUUGGAGGAGUUGAUGCUGCCAAGUUAGCCAGCAGCUUAAGGAAGAAAGUUGGGCAUACUGACAUUGUCUCAGUGUUGCAGUAUUAGUGGAUAAGAAGUAGACAAGGCCCCCUUCCAAUCUUGUUUGUUUGUUUGUGGUUUAGCCUUCUUCAAAUAAGAUUGCUAGUCUAUGUUUUAUUGGAUCCUGUAUGGUGUCAAGAGUACUUGUGAUAUAUUAUUAUAGAGUUAACAUUGAUAAAUUACGAACAGUAGAACAUUACUAAAUCAAAAGGGCUAAAACGUAGUUAAAGCUAUUGCAUUCUGAUCCCACCUUAUGCCCUUGUGAUCGAGCGAGCAAUCACUAGAAAUGAAUAUCAAGGAAAAUCUUGGCUCUAAGAAUUUGGUUGCCUGGGGAGGUAGGUAGGGUAACACCCCUUUCAUCACAUAUGCUUCCAUAACACAAUGUUGGAGAUCAUCAUCAACUUUCAAGACUGAUCAACGUAGUGAAGAUAGA